AGAGAGAAGCUUGCUUCUCUUGAGAGCGGCGGACGGGUGAGUAACGCGUAGGAAUCUACCUGGUAGUGGGGGACAACAUUCGGAAACGGAUGCUAAUACCGCAUACGCCCUACGGGGGAAAGGAGGGGAUCUUCGGACCUUUCGCUAUCAGAUGAGCUCUGCGUAGGAUUAGCUAGUUGGUGGGGUAAAGGCCCACCAAGGCGACGAUCCUUAGCUGGUCUGAGAGGAUGACCAGCCACACUGGGACUGAGACACGGCCCAGACUCCUACGGGAGGCAGCAGUGGGGAAUAUUGGACAAUGGGGGCAACCCUGAUCCAGCCAUGCCGCGUGUGUGAAGAAGGCCUUCGGGUUGUAAAGCACUUUCAGUGGUGAGGAAAGGGUAACCGCUAAUACCGGUUAUCUGUGACGUUAGCCACAGAAGAAGCACCGGCUAAUUCCGUGCCAGCAGCCGCGGUAAUACGGAAGGUGCGAGCGUUAAUCGGAAUAACU
rnacentral:rRNA from 2 species